GAUCCUGGCUCAGGAUGAACGCUAGCUACAGGCUUAACACAUGCAAGUCGAGGGGCGAGCAUGAACUUAGCUUGCUAAGUUUGAUGGCGACCGGCGCACGGGUGAGUAACACGUAUCCAACCUUCCGUUUACUCAGGGAUAGCCUUUCGAAAGAAAGAUUAAUACCUGAUAGUAUGGUGAGAUUGCAUGAUAACACCAUUAAAGAUUUAAUUGGUAAACGAUGGGAUGCGUUCCAUUAGGUAG
rnacentral:rRNA from 1 species